rnacentral:rRNA from 1 species
UCAGUAUCGUUACUUGAUAGUACUUUACUACUUGAUAACGUGGUAAUCUAGAGCUAUACAUGCUAAAAUCCCGACUGUUGGAAGGAUGUAUUUAUUAGAUAAAAAAUCAAUGCUUUUCGGAGCUCUUGAUGAUCAUAAUAACUUUUCGAAUCGCAUGGCCUUGUGCUGGCGAUGGUUCAUUCAAAUUUCUGCCCUAUCAACUUUCGAUGGUAGGAUAGUGGCCUACCAUGGUUUCAACGGGUAACGGGGAAUAAGGGUUCGAUUCCGGAGAGGGAGCCUGAGAAACGGCUACCACAUCCAAGGAAGGCAGCAGGCGCGCAAAUUACCCAAUCCCGACACGGGGAGGUAGUGACAAUAAAUAACGAUACAGGGCCCUUUCGGGUCUUGUAAUUGGAAUGAGUACAAUGUAAAUACCUUAACGAGGAACAAUUGGAGGGCAAGUCUGGUGCCAGCAGCCGCGGUAAUUCCAGCUCCAAUAGCGUAUAUUAAAGUUGUUGCAGUUAAAAAGCUCGUAGUUGAACCUUGGGCUUGGUUGGCCGGUCCGCCUUUUUGGCGAGUACUGGACCCAACCGAGCCUUUCCUUCUGGCUAACCUUUCGCCCUUGUGGUGUUUGGCGAACCAGGACUUUUACUUUGAAAAAAUUAGAGUGUUCAAAGCAGGCCUUUGCUCGAAUAUAUUAGCAUGGAAUAAUAGAAUAGGACGUUAUGGUUCUAUUUUGUUGGUUUCUAGGACCAUCGUAAUGAUUAAUAGGGACGGUCGGGGGCAUCAGUAUUCAGUUGUCAGAGGUGAAAUUCUUGGAUUACCUGAAGACUAACUACUGCGAAAGCAUUUGCCAAGGACGUUUUCAUUAAUCAAGAACGAAAGUUAGGGGAUCGAAGAUGAUCAGAUACCGUCGUAGUCUUAACCAUAAACUAUGCCGACUAGGGAUCG